GUGUGUUAUAUUGAUUAAUAGUUACAUAGCUACAUGUAAACAAUACCACGUGAAGGUUACUCUAAACACUUUAAAACAGAAGUUAUUUGGAGACAAUAUAAUAUGACCAUCACAGUUACUAUAGAAUACCAGUAUGGCUGAUGCUCUGGUGGAAGAUUUGAGAGAUUGAAAGAGGAAAUUCUUGUCGUCUUCCCGGAUGCAGUCGUGAUGAGCACAAUGGGCCCAGAAUCUUCAUAUGAAAUUACAGUAGAAGGUCAUCUCGUUUUCUCAAAACUAAAGCUCGGAGGUUAUCCAUAUAAUGACGAUAUAAUGCAAUGUUUACGACGAGUUCACGCUGGAGGUACACCGGAAGUUGUAAAGCGAGCUAAAAAGCCCACCUUUCUGAAAUAGAGAAAAAACUGGAGGAACAACAACUGCUAUACCACGUUUAUUUUACUGUUUCAACAGUGCCAUUAGAUCAGAUGAACUAUUAAUUCACCAUAUAGUACUGUCCAAAGUGCACAAAACAGACUACACCUAUCAAGUCAUUACGGUCAUGUACUUAUAUAUCCACAAAUCUAACUGACAUAUGUUGUUUCGAUAAAGUUUAUGAACAUCUACUGUAGGUAUUUUUUUUAAUACAGAUCAAUAUGCAUAAAAUUGUUUCUUAAUAAAAUGACAUCUAAACUUAAAAAUCUGAAAAUAAGAUGAGUUUAAAUUGAUGAAUUAUAAGAAAUACAUUUUUUGUGCUGUCUUCUAAAUUUCAUUUUUGUUUUAGAAAUAAAAUAUUUUCAAUUUU